rnacentral:misc_RNA from 1 species
GAAAUGCGAUAAGUAGUGUGAAUUGCAGAAUUCAGUGAAUCAUCGAAUCUUUGAACGCACAUUGCGCCCUUUGGUAUUCCUUAGGGCAUGCCUGUUCGAGCGUCAUCUAAACCCUCAAGCACUGCUUGGUGUUGGGUGCCUGUCCCGCCCCCGCGCGUGGACUCACCUCAAAUCCAUUGGCGGCCCCCUUCGUCGGCUCCGAGCGCAGCAGAAACGCGAACUCGUGGGCCCGACGGGGUGGCUCCCAGAAGCUACCAUCACCAUUUUGACCUCGGAUCAGGUAGGGAUACCCGCUGAACUUAA